ensembl:lncRNA
UCCAUAGUUUCAACUGCUUGCUAUUUUAAAGAAUGUGUUGAAAACAGUUCUGUGUAGAGCUUUUGUCAUAGUGAGGCUCACGGUCUUUAGGGCAGAUUCAAGAACCUAAUGACUGGCUUGAAGGGAAUGAGAACAUUUUCAGGCUCGUGAUCUACAUUACCGAAUGGCUAGGAAAAAUUUUCAGAUGAUGUCAUUGACAGCGGGGUGGGCUUCCUCCGAGGCUGUGAGGUCCUAGUCUCUCAGGACGGUGACCGCUUGUAGGGUUGAUUCAAGCACUGACUGUGGUGGUGGGAGGGGCAAGGAUAGUUCCAAAAUUCCUCUGUGGGAGAGGGUUAGACAUGCUGAUGUCUUCAUUAGGGGGGAAGCAGAACAUGUGAAACAAGCCCUGUUUUCCCUCUCAACGUGUGCUUUUUUGGGGGCAGCCUGGAGGUGUGCUGAUGGCGGUUAUGGAGAGUCUAGAGCCUUCUCCCACCCUAAACCACCUUUGGCUCCUCCAGCUGGUGGGAUGGGCACUAGUGACCUUUUAAAUCUUUCCCGUCUCCGUGUUUUUGUGAUUCCAGGGCUCUGCCACUGUGCAGGUCCACUGGCUGGACUCAUCCACUUUAGUUUUCUCAUGUCAGCGUGGGUCAUCCAAACCUCUCUUUGGUUCUGUCCCAAGUGUCCCAGAGAGGUGGACCCACCCUCUCCCUUCCCAGGAAAGCCCGUGUUGCAAUGAGCACUCCUGUGCUUCUCCCCAGUGCUUUCUCGGCAGCACAAUCGGAUGACACUGCUCUCGCUGCCCUCAGCUGCCCUCCGAGAAGACGUCACAACCGCGAAAGAUCCCAAUCAGUCUGCUUUCUCCCUGUGGCACUGUGUGCUUUGGCUGCCUGGCCAGAAAGCUGGGCCUAUUUUUACCUAUCAUUCUGAUACUAUCUCGGGUAUAAUUGGAAUUGAGCUCUCAGUGUGGAAAUUCUUACUCAGAACACAAAGGAUUGAAGAGAACUCGGAGGCUGAACUCUGGAAGGACUCUUGCCCGACUCCUCUUGGCAGAGAUGGCUCUGGUUUCUCGGAGCGGUGGCGUGGCCCACAGAUCACUGGUGAUACAGAAUAUGCGUCAGGGCAACUGUCCUUCAUGAAGUCUCUGCGUCAUCGGGAGCACUCUCUAUCCCAAGAGGAGAGACUGGAAAGUGCCCAUGAGGUUUUCACAGGCUCCCCAGGAAAUGUCACUCAUCAUUCACUUCCUCUUACAACCCAUUUGCCAGUGACUCUCUCAGUAAGAGUUAGACUCAUGAGCAAAGGGCUGUGAAGUGCGGUCCGCCAUAUGCCUGGAAGGGGAGGCUACCCAGAUGUUGGAAAACACGAGUGAUGCCUACCUUCAUCUAUACCAUUGACUGAAAGCGCUGGUCUUAAUCAUUUUUAUAGUAAGACUCCGUACCUAACAGACGAAAGCCUCCGAUGCUAUGUUUCGACUUCAAGAAGGCCUUGGCUCGUCUUAGACCUUGGCAAUUCCAUACAAGUUGUAGAAAGUGUUUGUGAAGUUCUGAAAAAGAUCCCAAAUUCACAGCUGAAUCAAGGGAGAAUCGACACUGAAAAUAUCAAGUGUUCUAAUUCAGUAACAGAAUUUCUCUCCUUUAAUCCAGGUCUUCUUUAGUUUCUUUCAAUAAUGUUUUAUAAUGUUUAAAAAAAUUUUUUUAAACAUUUCUUCAUUUUUGAGAGACAGAGACAGAGUGUGAGGGGGGGAGGGGCAGAGAGAGGGGGAGACACAGAAUCCGAAGCAGGGUCCAGGCUCUGAGCCAUCAGCACAGAGCCAGAGGCAGGGCUUGAAAUCACGGACCACAGGAUCAUGACUUGAGCUGAAGUUGGACACUUAAUGGACUGAGCCACCUGGGUGCCCCAGUGUUUUAGAAUGUUUUGCACAGAGGUCUUAUACACCUUUUGUUAGAUUUUCCCCUAAAAUUUGGAUAUGUUUAAAUCCUAGUGUAAAUGUUAUUUUCCAAGUUUUUUCCAUUUUAUAAAAUCUGUGGUUGAUAGGGGCACCUGGGUGGCUCAGUUGGUUUUAACCAUCCAGCUUCGGCUCAGGCAAUGAUCUCGCAGUUCACUAGUUCGAGCCCCACGUCAGGCUCAGAGCCUGAAGCCUGUUUCAGAUUCUGUGUCUGCCAAUCUGCCUCUCCCCCGCUCGCACCUGUCUCUCUCUCUCUCUCUCCUCUCUCUCUCUCCUCUCUCUCUCUCUCUCUCUCUCUCUCUCUCUCAGAAAUAAAUAAAACACUAAAAACA